GAUGGGAGCGCGCCGGAAAAGGCCUCCCGGGAGCUGUAGUUCCUCUCCGCCCCGCCCUGGGGGCUGGAGGGCUGCGGGGUGGGCCCUGGCGUGGUUAAAUAUUGACGUUAUAAUAAAAUAAUUUACUGCCGCUUCAGUCGGCUAAUCCAGUAAUUACAACCCCAGGCCGGCAUCUGCAACACAUCGUUAUUGUAAGGCACGUACUUGAGGAUUAAGGACUAGCUCCGGAUCUCGUAUUCUUGACGCGGGUGAAAGGCUGCACCUCGAGUUAAGCCAGGUGCUUAGCUAAGCGUCAGCCUAAAGCCUUGAGCCUCCAGUUAAUUUGUAAAGCAGAGAUACGGCUUUGAUAUUGCUCAAUUCACCUGAGAAUCAAGGGGCGUGCACUAUCGAAUCUGGCCACAAAACACCCAGAUAAUGGAUCAUGGGGAACUACAUCAGAAAAUCUGUGUUUGCCUAGAGAUGUCAGAAAACAGAAAAGCAAAGCCCCGAGGCUCACGCUUCAGGGCACAGCUUAUCACAGCUCCUGACGCUGUCUCUGUAUAAACUGCAUCUCUUUCUAAACAAGGGACGUGGGAAGUCUGGCUCUGGAGAAGGAAAAGGAUACCAGAAAAACUGCCAGCACGAGCAACCCAACACUCCUUUUCAUUAGCCCUUUGCUUGGUUAGAGGGCAACACAGCACUUUCUGUGGUAGAGAAGUGGCACAAGAAGUCGACAUAGAGAAAAUCUGAAGAGGUGCACAGCAUUUGCGGGUCCUUCCAAGACAAGAAACUUGUGCUGAAAUUAUCUAUUUGGAGAGAAACGCCGAAUCUCUUCAAGCCAAGUUUCAAAUGGUGGAAGACACUGGAUGUAAUGAACUGCGGAGGCCACUGGAUGUCAGCGUUGGACCUGCAUAAAUGCUUCCAUGAAACUGGAGUAACUGAUUGCUCCUCCAAAAUGUAGAGAAAGAGGGUAGAGGGGGCCGCGAGACCAAAAAAGACAAUGACAGUGGCUGCAGAUAUAACCGAAUUUUUUAAUUCUCUACUCACUCUUAGGGUAGAAGCGCGAAGACAUAAAUACCCCACAAACAAGGGAACGUGACAAUCGUAAUUGGCUGCUUCUGAGACAGAGGAAACACAGUCUUUGCAAGAUUGUAAAGUUUUAAACUUAUGUCCACUACUAGAAAUUGUCUUUCAUUAUUGCUUUGAUUUUACAGUGCGUAAAUACUCAAACAUCUGAAAGCUUCUUUUAGGGUUACACAGCUGAUUCUUUGCCAAAGCUAUCAGACUGGAAGAACAUGGAAUAAAAAAUAGGGAAAGAAACAAUACAGUGUAUCAUGCCACUGAAGGCAUACACUUCAUGCUGCUCUGUAUCAAUGUAGUUAAUCAUAUUAUCUUAAAUCAGACUGCAACUGGAGAAAUUCAUUGCUGAAAAAUUGUCUUGUCCUAAGGUUCAGGACAAGCAUCAUUUAGGAUUGAUGACAUGCUCAGGCUUUGAUACGUUAGGGUGUAUUGAACCUUGUGACAGGUUUUAUUGAGUAAUUUUCAUCUUGUGGGAAAUAACAUGUUGGAUUGAAAAUCAACUCUUUUUAAUGUCAGUUUCAACAUUUUUAGGAUAUUUGUGUUUUGGUUUUGUUGCACCAUAUGCCACCAGGGUUAUGCACUGAACUUUAUUAAAAAUCCCUAAACAAUUUCUAAAAUAAUGUAUUCUGUAAUACACUAUUGUUGCAUGGUGGCAGAAGGAAAAUGUAAUGGUCCUGAUCAGGUUAAUUGACCUUGUAUUAGACCCUUCUCUACCAAACUGAAUAGACCUGUGACCUGUGCUAACAGUGCUUUGCCUUGGGGAUCACAAAGAUUCUGCCUCGUAGCUUCACACUCCAUUGGUUGCUUGCAAAUAUUACUGUGAUGUGCUACUCCUUCUGUAUAGGUCUGAAAAACAGCUGGGUGCCUUAGGCGUGUAGCACAAUUUAAUUAGCUGAAUUUAGAUGCCAUUGAGAAUUUCCUAGCAAAAUGUAGGAGCAUCCUAAAAGUAGAGACACAGUAGGGGUCACUAGCUCAGCACUUACAGAUGAGACUCUGAAAUAAUGUGGUGAUCUGAGAGGAAUGUGAUGUGGAGGGAGAAGAUGGAGCACCUCUACCAAGAGCGCAGUGGAGGUCUGGGAAAGGCUGCUUUCACUUGCUGUUUAGAGGGAAGUUCUUUAUUCCAAAGACAUCACUUUGAAAAUAAAAACCCCUCUACUAAUGUGAUUAGUUACCUCUUGAGGCUAAACAUAGAGGCAAUAAUAGUCUUCCAGGUGAAUUAAAAUUGCUUUUGUCCAUAUACAUUUUUGUAAUGGAAAAGGUUUAUUCUUGUAAUGCAUUUUGAAAUAAAAUGAAGUAAUAGUAGUAAACACAACAAAACUGGGGAGGACUACAGGACUAUCCAAGAUGCAGCUGUAUUCUGCCCAUUUUCUUUGGGUGUCUUUCCUUCAUUCGCCUCAGAUAAAUUCCCACAGCUAAUACAGCUAUUAAUUGUGUUCAUUAAGGUAUACAAAAGUAGCAAUUAUGAAAGAUACCUCUUUAAAUAGGCCCUAGAGAAGAUAUCAGAAAUGUACACAAACUUAAAUUAGAAGAAGUAGAUUUGGCCAUUGAGUAGCUCUGUGUAUCAUAUUACUGCGUUCUUUCCAUGUGCCAGGAAGAGAAAGGACAGAGGAAGCGACUUUCCUUUUUUUAACUCUGACUCUGGAAGCUGCUUAAGGCAGCUGUUUCUUUUUUUUAUCUGCCACGUAAGUAUUGUGUUUUAAAAGUACUGAUUUCUACAGAAUAGUACUUAAAAAUGUUCUGUAACCAGGCUUUUCUCCCUCCAGCUUCCCCACUACACACACAUGCACAAGUAUUCAUCAUUUCACCUCCUUCUCUCCAGUAAGCAUACAGGACAUUGGUGUCAUCACCCCCAUCUAGACAAAAAAAUCUAUCAUCUGUAUUCUGCACAAGGUCAACCCAUCUGUUAGCGCACAGCAAGUCAGUUCAUAGAAGUAAAAAAUAAUAGCAGAAGCACGGAGCCACUGAUAUCAGUGAAUCAUCAACUCACCUAUUUGGUGUGUGUUGUACUAACUCAUGUUAUGAAAUUUCAGACUGUGGAUUGCUCGUGGAGCAAACAGCAAAGGAGAGAGGGGGUAGCAGUGGAUAUUUAGGAUAUUAGUAUAAUUACAAAUGGAAGAAUAUAAUCAUUCCUUCCAUGCAUCUCUAGGAAAGGCAUACCAGUUAACCAUAGAAUUACGAAAUCAUAGAAUCACAGAAUGGUUUGGGUUGGAAGGGACCUUAAAGAUCAUCUCAUUCCAACACUGCUUCUGUGGGCAGGAACACUUUCCACUGGACCAGUUACAAACCCCCUGCUGUGGGGUGGACAUGUUCCCCUAGACCAGGUUGCUUAGAGCCCCAUCCAACAUGGCCUGGAACACUUCCAGGGGUGGGGCAUCCACAGCUUCUCUGGGAAACCUGUUCCAGUGCCUCACCACUGCUAUACUAAAGACUUUUUAAGAUUGAAAGUAAGUCAAUCCUCCUUCAGCUUAAGGCCAUUCACCCUUGUCCUAUCACUACAUGCCCUGCUACAAAGUUCCUCUCCAGCCAUUUUAUAAGCCCCCUUUCAGUACUGGAAGGCUGCUAUAAGGCUUCUAUAUUUACCACUUGUUUCUCUACCUGGGUUGGGAACUUCCUCAUUUGAAAUAAGAAAUGUACAUGAGCCUCUUGCAUUUACUGUAAAAGUAAAGCUCUCACUAAUAAGGUGAUGCAAUUACUUUCAGCUUUAUCUAAGUAUUGCUGUUUAUUACUUUUAAGGCAGAUAGAAUGUAAUUUUUCACAGCACCAAGCGCCAUAGAAAAAUUAUUGUAUUCAAAUCACAGCUCGUGGUAACUCGAGAUAAAUGACUUCUUGAUGACUGUUUUCAUUGCUGGUGAUGUCUUAUUAAGCUGAAAAUUGCUUAAUUGACCAGAUCCUCAAAAUAAUAAAGUAAACCCAGAGUGUUGAGACUUGGCAAGGAAUAAGCCACUGGAAGCAAGGUAUUUGUAGUCAGGAAUGGGCAAUAUUAGUAAUGUAUGGUGAUAACCAUCCCAUCUAUGCAUUUUGGAAUGUGAUUUGAUAUCUUGAAAGAGAAUUGUUGGUUUUGGAAAGCAAACUUAUGCAAGGAGUACAUCAGAAAGAUGUUAUCUCUUUAAGAUUUUUGUAUUUCUCCCCACCUCCUCAGAAUUAUGCAGACCGAGAAACUUUGAAACCAACCAAAAGCCAAAAAACUACUGGACAAAAAAGUCGACUGACUCUGGAAAUUUUUAAGUGAGCUUUUAAGUAGGUGAUUUUUUUGCUGUUGUUUGUAAGUAAGAGGGUACUUAGUUUUAGAAAAUUAAAGCUGAAAUAUUCACAUAUUCAGUUGAUUGCAGGGAAAGAGGCUUUAAGAAAUGCACCAGUCAUUGUGAAAACUGUUGGCACUGGGGCCGUAAUGUAGAGCCCCAACAGGAUGUGCGUAGAUCGUGUAGAUGACGGAUGAUGCAUCUCUCAGAAUAGUUGCGAAGAACAGAUGAUUUGGUAUUCACGUGCAACUGUGUGUUGAAACACAUUUUUUACAUUUUGGAAAAGCCUUCAGUAUGGAGCGAAAACAUUUGCAAACCAUAACUCUCCAUUCCCUUUUCCCUAUCUUUUUCAGCCUCACGUAACCUAACGAGUUCCUCUUGGCUAAGGUGUUCUCCUACAGUUUUUGUACUGCAGUUCACCCAAUGGGGCCUCAUUCACAGCCUCAUGGUGGGAUGGUUAUAAUACCAACUAUCAUGGCUAUUUGUGAUGUUCACCUCUGGACAUGGGCAUAAAGACACCUGGUUUUGAACAGGACUAGUGGGAUAUAUUUCUUACAGUCAGAGAGAGAGAAGUGCAGUCUAUCAGGUGACUUCUUCACUUUCAGUUCUAAAUGCAGUCUUGAAGUUCUGUCAGUAGACUUAAGAACUUGGACUUAGGUUAGGUGUUUUUAGUGCUAUGACUAUUGACAGCAGCUCUUCAUACUUGGCACCUCAAAAGGACCAAGCCUGAAGGGUAAGGAAAGCUUAUUGUUGGUGCCAGCAAAAAGUCAGCAUUCAAGGAACAGGCCUGGGCAAAGAUUACCAUGCCAAUGUGUGCAUGAGUCUGUAACUGCCUGUAACUGUCACGAUAUCUCCACCCUUGUCACACUCAAACACGUAGGAAAUUAUUUGCAAGACUAGAAAGAAAAGUCAAAGACAAUUAAAGUAAUUAAUUCUCAACUACAUUGCAAUUACAGCAAGUUGCCAGAUGAUUUUUAUUAGUAAGGGAUGAACACACAACAGUAACAACAGAAAACAGUAUCAGAAAAAAAACUAAUCUCUUUUAGUUAAAGGGCCAUGAACAUUAGUCAGUGUAAUCCCAUGACAGUUUUUGUCUCCUUCAUUUAAUUAAUUCCUUGUGUGAGGGUGAGCUGAAGAUUAUUCUCCUAUAAAAUGUAUUUACUCUCUCUCACAUAGGUAACUGCAGUCAGAAUAAAGGCUCUACAAUCUUUUCCGUACCGUGGCUGCCUACUGAAUUUAUCACUGUGAAAAGGUGACUGACUCAGCUGCUGAACUGAUUUGUCUUGUCAGUGGAGAACAGACUUGUAUAGCUGCUGAGUCACAAACUGACUUGCAUAAUUGGAAGGGGCAUUGGCUAAAGGAUACACGUGGUCUAUUCACUCACCUGGACAAUGAUCCUUAUCACUGAAUCUCAGAAUGGUUUAGGUUGGAAAGGACCUUAAAGAUCAUCCAGUUCCCACCCCCCUGCCAUGGA